UUCUUAGCAUAAAUAUGUCUCAUGAAAUAUUUUGGACAUACUUACGCUAAAA
rnacentral:pre_miRNA from 1 species